UUCUUGCUGUCCUGUGCCCUCCUGG
rnacentral:miRNA from 1 species